AACGAACGCUGGCGGCAUGCCUAACACAUGCAAGUUGAGCGAGAACCAGAGGGCUUGCUCUCUGGGGAAAGCGGCGCACGGGUGAGUAACGCGUGGAUAACGUGCCCUGGGGUUGGGGAUAACCCACCGAAAGGUGGGCUAAUACCGAAUGUGUUCCAUUGGAGUCCGCUCCGGUGGAAGAAAGUGGGGCAACCCACGCCCGAGGAUCGGUCCGCGUACCAUCAGCUAGUUGGUAGGGUAAAGGCCUACCAAGGCUACGACGGUUAGCUGGUCUGAGAGGAUGAUCAGCCACACUGGGACUGAGACACGGCCCAGACUCCUACGGGAGGCAGCAGUGGGGAAUAUUGGUCAAUGGGCGAAAGCCUGAACCAGCAAUGCCGCGUGAGUGAUGAAGGCCUUCGGGUUGUAAAGCUCUGUCAGCGGGAACGAAUAAGCCGGUUAAUACCCGGUGGUGACGGUACCCGCAAAGGAAGCACCGGCUAACUCUGUGCCAGCAGCCGCAGUAAUAC
rnacentral:rRNA from 1 species